AGACCCGAAACCCGGUGAUCUAGCCAUGGGCAGGUUGAAGGUUGGGUAACACUAACUGGAGGACCGAACCGACUAAUGUUGAAAAAUUAGCGGAUGACUUGUGGCUGGGGGUGAAAGGCCAAUCAAACCGGGAGAUAGCUGGUUCUCCCCGAAAGCUAUUUAGGUAGCGCCUCGUGAAUUCAUCUCCGGGGGUAGAGCACUGUUUCGGCAAGGGGGUCAUCCCGACUUACCAACCCGAUGCAAACUGCGAAUACCGGAGAAUGUUAUCACGGGAGACACACGGCGGGUGCUAACGUCCGUCGUGAAGAGGGAAACAACCCAGACCGCCAGCUAAGGUCCCAAAGUCAUGGUUAAGUGGGAAACGAUGUGGGAAGGCCCAGACAGCCAGGAUGUUGGCUUAGAAGCAGCCAUCAUUUAAAGAAAGCGUAAUAGCUCA
rnacentral:rRNA from 1 species